CCUACGGGAGGCAGCAGUGAGGAAUAUUGGUCAAUGGGCGAAAGCCUGAACCAGCCAAGUCGCGUGAGGGAUGACGGCCCUACGGGUUGUAAACUUCUUUUGUCAGGGAGCAAUGUAGUCCACGUGUGGUCGGAGCGAGAGUACCUGAAGAAAAAGCAUCGGCUAACUCCGUGCCAGCCGCCGCGGUAAUACGGAGGAUGCGAGCGUUAUCCGGAUUUAUUGGGUUUAAAGGGUGCGUAGGCGGAAUUACAAGUCAGGGGUAAAAAUUCGGGGCUCAACCCCGUCGUGCCGUUGAAACUGGCGUUCUUGAGUGGGCGAGAAGUAUGCGGAAUGCGUGGUGUAGCGGUGAAAUGCAUAGAUAUCACGCAGAACUCCGAUUGCGAAGGCAGCAUACCGGCGCCCAACUGACGCUGAAGCACGAAAGCGUGGGUAUCGAACAGGAUUAGAUACCCUAGUAGUC
rnacentral:rRNA from 1 species